CUAGUGCGCGUGCGCACUGGGCAAGUGACGCGCCUGCCCUUAGCGCUGAGGGCGGCGCGUGCUUCUCUUGCUCCAGCGUGCCGGGGGCUCGGGCUGGCGGCGGGCCUGGGGCUUGGCUCUGAGCCCCGCGAGCUCUAGGCUCCUGCGGUGACGUAGCGGGUGUUAAGCGCACGAGCGAGGUUGUGCCCGCGAGCUAUUCGCCUGCAUACAGCGGGGCAUCCCGGGAAGCGUUUGCAGCAGGACUGCGGCCCGACGUGGGGCCGGGAUGGGCGCGGGUGUGAGCUCCCCGAGCGCCCGAGCUCCCUGAGCGCCGCCCCGGGGAAGGCCUCGCAGAGGGCAGCGGGCUCCCGCCCUGUGACGGGGCGGGAGGCGCUCAAGGAGGGCAGAAAUGUCACCCCACUUUCCCAAAUCACGGGACUGGAUUGGCACAAUUGUGCAGAAUAUUGCAGGGGGCUUAAACAUAAGCAAAGGUCUGGAAGGUGCGUGAGGUAGAUUCCGUUAGUAAAGUGGGGUAAAAAGGCAAAAGUAGAAAGGGAAUAGGCAAGGCGAGGUAAUACUAUUUUAUAAAAUAAUAUGAAACUGGUGAAAGUAAAGACAUAGUUAAGGGCAGUGAUAGAGUAAUAUAAAAACCGAAUGUAUGGGGAAAAGUGGAAUUAAGACAAACCAGCCAUCACCAUGAUCUCGCUGCUUCUAGAUUGUUUGGCUCAACAGGUAGCAAUCAACGGCUGGAUGUCUAGUUGGCAGUCGGUAUCCAGCGGAGUGCCCCAGGGAUCAGUCCUGAGAAGACAAAGGCCCGGAUACUUGGUACCUAUCAACUAAUGACCAUGGACCACCUCUUCAGGAAGCCGGCCAGUUUGGACCAGCUGGAGAACAAAAAACUAAGGUGGCUAGCCAGUUGACAAGUUUGGCCAGGAAGAAGAACAAAGGACUGAGGAGGGGCCAGGUGGGGGAUUGUAUAGUGUGGGUUGCUGGAAGCAGAGACACUUCUCAACUGUGGGCUGAGAGAGAGCCCUGGGCUCUGUACGGACCCAGCUGGACUUCGCUGUAGCUUCCUGUUUCCUAUGCUAACCUAAGGGCUUCCUACACUAUGUUCCGUAUAUCUUUAAAAACAAACCAAAAAACAAAACAAAACUGUUUUUACAAUGCUGGCUGAGAGUCACUCCAGAUUAAGUUGGGGUGCAUUGCUCCCUUUGUGUGUAACUCUCCCCCAUGUGUCCAAUUCAGGUGGACUUGCUGAGGGGAUCUCACAGUGUGAAGGAAGGGUGCUGAAGGCUCCGAGGUUCAGUCCCCAGAGCCAGUGAAGCCACGGGACUUACCACAGAGAAAGAGUGCAACCCUUGAGGAUUGACCUCUGAAGGCAGUUCUCCUGGGGGCUAUUACAGAGCUGUUUGAGAGCACCGGGCCUGUAGGAUCCAUGAUACCUGGUAAGAAGCAUUUGAAUAAACUACCAAUGAAAUUAUCCUCACACUCUAAAGCAAAUUGCAACAAGCCUAGAUUAAGGCAGAACAAGAUACUAAAUAUCACAAAUGCUUCAUUAAACUGAAUCAAGUACCAAGCUGAGGAAUGCUGAUUUGGAACCGGUGGAUAUAAAGGCAAAGGGCCUGAUUCUGAUCUCUCAUUGGUUUUACAUUUGUAUAACUCCCUUCACUUCAAUGGGUUUAUUCUGGAUUUACAAAAGUGUGAAUGCAAGGUCAAAUUCUGAUCUCUGUUGCAUUAGUGUAAACCUUCAGUAACUCCACUGAAAUAAUUGAAUUUAUUCCACAUUUAUGCUGGUGUAGCUAAGAGCAUAAUCUGGCCUGAAAGCUCUAUGGAACUCUUUGGACACAUUGGGCCUGGUUCUUAAAUCAGGAAUAACUCAACUGAAGUCAGUGGCUUUAUAUUGGAAUAAAAUCAGUGUAAAUGCAAUUAGAAUAAAAUCCUGAAAUUCUCUGACCAGAAAACACUCAAGGAGCCAAUUUUGCAAUGCACUUGAGCACUACCUCAGCAGAUCAGGGCAAAUAUAUUAAGGUUGAAAUGCUAAAUGUAUGUAAAUCAGGAAAUCCAUAUUCAUUGUUCCUACAGCAAUCAUAACUUGUCUCACUAGUAUUUUCCAUUACUUCAUAUGGUGUUAUCUUCAUUAC